rnacentral:miRNA from 1 species
CCCGGUGCAGGCAUCAGCCC